UUAUACGUUAAAGGAUUUUAUGGAACUACGACGCUGGAGAAUACGCAUUUUCUCGUUAACCUCUUUAUUUGUGACUUAAAUAUCGAUUAGACAUAAGUAAAGAUUUUUUUAUUUUCUAAGAGAAGUAAUUGUUAAAUAAAGAAUAUUAUUCGAAGAAAACAAAGGUAUACAUUUUGUAGACGAAGGAAAUAAUUGGCUCUUUUUGGUGGAUUACGCAAAACUGCAGAUAAGGAGAAUGGUUAUGCGAAAAGAUAAUAAAACAUAAAUCAAUCAUUUAAAAAUAACUCGAAUAUUUGUUCAGUUUAUUCGUUAAUAGAAAAGAGUUAAUUGGAAUCGUAAAAGAAAAGGCAGCCUUGAUCCUUUAACCUAUAUAUUUAAGUCCUAGGUCAAUGUAAUUGAAGGAUCAAUAAAAUCUUUCGAAUGGCAGCAUCGAAUGGCAGCAUCGAACAUUUCGAGGAGACAAAGGAAAUAUUUCAUUAAAACGUUAACACGAAUUAAUCUACAGUACGUAAGCAUAUAGCAAACCCUAGAUUUGAUGACAUCACAGGAGAAAAGAAAAUGAGUCAUAUGCCAUUCUACUCAGAUGGUAGACCAAUUCCAUUAUCGGUAUAUAAAAGGAGAGAAUAAUGUUCAAAGAUGACACCGAUAGACAGACGGCGGGGACAAGCAACAGCAGAAAAAUAAAAAAGAAAGAUAAAGAAGAUACAGCAUGAACGAACCAAUGCGACAAAUUAUAAUUCGUUCAAAUGCAAUGAUAACAAUGAUUCCAAUUAUAGAUAGAUAAGAAAAUAAAAAAACAAUUGGAUGAGCAUUUACCUUAGCUUUUAGAUGGUCCUAAAACAGAAUGUCGACGAUCCCAGAACUUGACCCAACAGCAGCAGCGAGGGAGAGAGAGGAUAUUCGUAAGUAAGUAAAAUGUAUGUAUGUGAAACUAGUGGCUUGGAGUGCGCGCGCGACACGAACGCGCGUUAAAAUACGAAGAUAUGUUCGGGUCUGUUCGGCUUUUGUGGGGGAAUCGAUUCUUCUCCAAGCCCUCGAAGUUCGAGAGACUCGCGCUCCUUAUUCGGAGCGUUCUUGACAUCGAAUCGCGAAUACGAUGACCAACAACGACGUACGAACUGCAGUAGAGUAGAGUAAAGUAAGUAUUUAAGCAGCAGCAGCAGCAACCAACGAAGAGUAAACGAAGUAGUAAACGAAGAACGGUGCGUGAGUCAUUCCCCAUUUGCACCAAAAGGAACAACCACAACCUACACUUUCCUCAUCCUGUUCCUCCUUCUCCACCUCCUCGUUUUCCACCUCCUUCAACUCCUACUUGCAAUCCAGACAUGAUGCAGCAACACCAAGGGAAAAGAGAAAAGAGAAGAGAAGAGAAGAGAAAGAGAGAAGAGAAAAAGACGUGGAUGAAGAUAGACCUUGUCUUGAGGGGGUGUGUUGAAGAAUACAAUUUGACUAGAGACAUUUAAUUCCAUUCGAAAGAAUGAUUUCACUAUUCUACAGACAAACCAGACAAAUUGCAAGAAGACCAGAUAAAUGCAACCCCCACCCAUCCACCUCUAUGCUGUGCAACAUAUUCUUCUCUUUUUCCCCCUUUUUUUUUUUAAUGAAAUUUAUUCUAUUCUACUGUUACUUUCUGUUUAUUUUCAUUAUGUAAGAAAUAAAGCAUGUUGGAAGAUAUGUCUACAUGUAUA